rnacentral:rRNA from 1 species
AUUGAACGCUGGCGGCAUGCUUUACACAUGCAAGUCGAACGGUAACAGGCCGCAAGGUGCUGACGAGUGGCGAGCGGGUGAGUAAUGCAUCGGAACGUGCCCAGUCGUGGGGGAUAACGCAGCGAAAGCUGCGCUAAUACCGCAUACGAUCUCUGGAUGAAAGCGGGGGACCGAAAGGCCUCGCGCGAUUGGAGCGGCCGAUGUCAGAUUAGGUAGUUGGUGGGGUAAAGGCUCACCAAGCCAACGAUCUGUAGCUGGUCUGAGAGGACGACCGGCCACACGGGGACUGAGACACGGCCCAGACUCCCACGGGAGGCAGCAGUGGGGAAUUUUGGACAAUGGGCGCAAGCCUGAUCCAGCAAUGCCGCGUGCAGGAAGAAGGCCUUCGGGUUGUAAACUGCUUUUGUACGGAACGAAACGGUCCUGGUUAAUACCUGGGGCUGAUGACGGUACCGUAAGAAUAAGCACCGGCUAACUACGUGCCAGCCGCCGCCGCAG